AGUUCCUUGGAACAGGACGUCACAGAGGGUGAGAAUCCCGUACGUGGUCGCUGGCUAUUGCCGUGUAAAGCCCCUUCGACGAGUCGAGUUGUUUGGGAAUGCAGCUCUAAAUGGGAGGUACAUUUCUUCUAAAGCUAAAUAUUGGCCAGAGACCGAUAGCGCACAAGUAGAGUGAUCGAAAGAUGAAAAGCACUUUGGAAAGAGAGUCAAACAGCACGUGAAAUUGUUGAAAGGGAAGCGCUUGCAGCCAGACUUGCUUACAGUUGCUCAUCCGGGUUUUUACCCGGUGCACUCUUCUGUAGGCAGGCCAGCAUCAGUUUGGGCGGUAGGAUAAAGGUCUCUGUCACGUACCUCCUUUCGGGGAGGCCUUAUAGGGGAGACGACAUACUACCAGCCUGGACUGAGGUCCGCGCAUCUGCUAGGAUGCUGGCGUAAUGGCUGUAAGCGGCCCGUCUUGAAACACGGACCAAGGAGUCUAACAUCUAUGCGAGUGUUUGGGUGUCAAGCCCGAGCGCGUAAUGAAAGUGAACGGAGGUGGGAACCCGCAAGGGUGCACCAUCGACCGAUCCUGAUGUCUUCGGAAGGAUUUGAGUAAGAGCAUGGCUGUUGGGACCCGAAAGAUGGUGAACUAUGCUUGAAUAGGGUGAAGCCAGAGGAAACUCUGGUGGAGGCUCGCAGCGGUUCUGACGUGCAAAUCGAUCGUCAAAUUUGGGCAUA
rnacentral:rRNA from 1 species